CCUACGGGAGGCAGCAGUGGGGAAUAUUGGACAAUGGGCGCAAGCCUGAUCCAGCCAUGCCGCGUGAGUGAUGAAGGCCCUAGGGUUGUAAAGCUCUUUCGGCGGGGACGAUAAUGACGGUACCCGCAGAAGAAGCCCCGGCUAACUUCGUGCCAGCAGCCGCGGUAAUACGAAGGGGGCUAGCGUUGUUCGGAAUCACUGGGCGUAAAGCGCACGUAGGCGGAUCGUUAAGUCGGGGGUGAAAUCCCAGGGCUCAACCCUGGAACUGCCUUCGAUACUGGCGAUCUUCGAGUCCGGGAGAGGUGAGUGGAACUCCGAGUGUAGAGGUGAAAUUCGUAGAUAUUCGGAAGAACACCAGUGGCGAAGGCGGCUCACUGGCCCGGUACUGACGCUGAGGUGCGAAAGCGUGGGGAGCAAACAGGAUUAGAUACCCUUGUA
rnacentral:rRNA from 1 species